AUUCACUAACCAUCUUAGUCAACUCCUUCUCAAUAUCAUUUUUCUAAAUUCACCGCACCACAAAUCUCAAUCAGACUCCUCCUUUCUUACCUCUUUUGUGUACACAGCUUCAUCAACCGCGAUGAAGGUCCUUUUGGGAAGUAAAGACGUGGGGAGAGAAUGAUAUUCCCUGUUAAUAUGAGACGCAACGAGGUUGAGCCGAUGUGGUGAUGGUGCUGCAAUGAGCGGAGUCUCCAGGGUUGUUAAUAAAUGAAGUUAACCUGACUAGAAUAUGUCUUCAUACAUAUGUCUGGCUACUUUCCGCUGCAAGAUGUUGUUGAUGUUAUAGUAUGUUAUGUCAUACUUUGAGUCUUAAGAGAAUGGUUUCAUAUGAUGUACAACUUGAUUAAUGAUAUUAAUUAAGUUUUAUGAUGUCUUUCAUAGACUGUUUAAAAGAGUAUUAAUGAGUAAU